rnacentral:rRNA from 1 species
UACGAAGGGGGCUAGCGUUGUUCGGAAUUACUGGGCGUAAAGCGCGCGCAGGCGGCUAUCCAAGUCAGUGGUGAAAGCCCGGAGCUCAACUCCGGAACUGCCAUUGAAACUGUUUAGCUUGAGGAUGAGAGAGGUGAGUGGAAUUCCCAGUGUAGAGGUGAAAUUCGUAGAUAUUCGCAAGAACACCAGUGGCGAAGGCGGCUCACUGGCCCGAUACUGACGCUGAGGUGCGAAAGCGUGGGGAGCAAACAGG